GCACCCGGUGGAGGGGAGGGUGCCCUGUGCCAACGGCUGCUGCUUUGGGUUUCGGCUCUUGUCGGUGUGGGCGCUUUUGUCUGUCAUCCAACCCAGCCCUCCCUUCAGUCCUGCAGAUCACCCCGUGGGCAGGAGGGCCCCAACCUUUCCGAGGACCAGCCUGCGUGGCCUGCCCCGGGUGCGGCCCGUCGUCGCCCAUCUGGGCACCUGCAACUGGUCCCCCUUGAUGCCCUGUGCAACCUCGCCCCCCACCGCCAGCUGGUCCGCUCUGUAAGAGGAAAGCAUAGUCCUCUGUUUCUUCCUUGAUUCACUGCAGAAGAAGGGCAGAUCGCUCUCCGGGGCUUCCCCGUGCACGGGCCGCCGUGACUGGACUCACGGCCGUGUCCCUCUUGUCCCUUAGCAGACGCACUUGAUGGACCGCGUCUUCCCCGUCCUGCCCUGGGGAGGGAGGUGUCUGUUGUAGAGGGAAAGAGUGCCCUCUGAAGGAGAGCAGACGUGUCGGUUCUGCACACGGGCCUUCAACAUACACCACGUUCCGGGCUCCCUGGAGGACAAGCCCGCCCCUGUCACUGUCUGCAGCGAGUGGAGCCCUGACCUUCCACAGCCGAUGAUCGGUUAUGGAAGAAACACCCGAACCCGGGGAUUGUGGUCUCUUCAGUCAAGGGUCCUGAGACCUGUCUCCCACUCGGUCUGAUGUGAGACUUAGUGUGAUACGGGGAAGAAGGCCUCAAAGUUCUUUUGCGCUUCAGCAAACUAACAUGUUUUGUACGGCAGUGAAUCGUGAAAGAGUGUUUUGUAUAUUAUUUUAUCUAUGCUGAGAAGCUAGUUGACUCGGGGAAGGACAUAGGUUAGUGGUAAAUAGAAUGCUUGCUUAGCAUGCCGAAUUCCGUGUGCUCAUUCCCGGUACCUCCAUUUAAAAACAGAAGAAAAGAAAAAACAAAAACAAGAGCAAACUUCAAAUGUUAGAAAUACAUAGUGCGCAAACCCAAAUUCCAUAUCCAUUUUUUACGUGUUUUCCUCUUACUACUUAUUUGAAAUCUAUCCCAACCGUGACUUAAGCUUUUUUUUUUCAGAAAAUGCUCUAACUCUUUGAAAGUCUUUUCUGCCACUUUUAUUUUGACACAUCCAUGAACGGAGAUAGACGCACAUGGUGUUUUUAAUAUACAUUGGUGUAUAUUCUCAUUAAUGUACCUGUAACUACAUUUAACAAAUGGUGUGUCAGUGCGCCACUUUACAGAAAAGAGAGGAAGAGAAUCUUCCUGGGAUGAAGUACAGUCUCUUGUUGUUAAGUUCCUUGUGUGACUAUAAAAGUACCAGGGGAUUUUGAGAAAUAAACCGGGGGUUGGUGUGAGUGUGCAUUUUCAAGUUUGCAUCUGCUGAUGAGAAUUUUUGACUUAUGCUUUUAACUUCCAGUUUAGGAUGUGAUUCUGUGCUUAAUGCCGUAGGACUGGAUAAUGCACUUGUGUUCAUUUUCCAGACUCACCAAUGAAACCAUUGUCUGUGUGGGCAUUCUUUUUUUCAGGGUCUUUCCCUUACAGUUUAUUAGAGGAUAUUGAAAAGAAAUACAUCCCUGGGAAAGGUAGGUGUAUCUUGGCGUUGGUUCUUGUUUUAGCCGCCCUCACUUGAAAUUAAUUAAGUGAUGUUUCAUUUUAAAGGCAGCAUGUUUUGUCUUCCCAUUCCACCGCCAGUAACAGUGGUCUAGUGUCCCUUAAUGAUUUACACUGUUUCCCACCUGCUCCUUUUACUCAGGCUGCCCUUCCCCAAAGCCCCUCCACAUCCCCCCUCUGCGCUGGAUCUCUCUUUAACGAAACAGUGCGGUCAUCCCAGCAUUCCCUGAGCUAUCCACGUGCAGCGGACUCUCCUGUCCUUUGUGGCAUUACUGCACCCGUUCACCUCUGUUGUAGAUCUGUUGAAACUUUUCUGUGCUGAUGUGUUUUCAUGGAUCCUGUGCCUCUGGCAGAACAGAGAGGAGAAUCUGCCUUUUACUUGUACCUCCAGCUUCCACCAGGAUAGGGCUUAUGUUCUGAUUGCUUCGGAAGGGGCGACUUACCCCGAAAUUACAAAACCGGAGUAUGCUACUGGGACUGUAGAAGUGGCUCCGCAGGAGCUGACGGAUCAUAAAACACUGAGCUCUGUUGGUGGAGCACACGGAGCUUAUUAUACACAGGAUAAUUUAGUGAACGUGGCUGGCAUUUCUUGUCCUCUGUGCCUAGAAACAAGUGUGCUCUGGAGGGAAGGGUAUAUGUAACUCAGCAGUAGAGAGAAUGCGGGCUUAGCAUGCAGGGGAUCCUGGGGUCAGUAUCCCGUUCUUCCAUGAAACGAGUGUGAUACGUGGAAGGAAGGAAGGAAGGAAGGCGCAAAGGUUUUGUUUCGCUUCAGCAGUGUCUUCGCAGGAAAGCCUAAUCCUCCAUCCUUUUCUGUGGUUUUUAGCCGACGCGGGAGCUGGCGCGUCUCCGGUGUGGCCCGGCAGCACCCGCCCAGCUGCGGCGGCCCCGGAAGCCCAGCAUGAGGAAGUUGAGCCCUCGCUCCACACUGACUUCUCCUGGCUCGGCUGACUCCUACCUGACCUCCUGCACCUGGGGUUGCUCCUGGGUCACUGAGACGGAUUUCUGUGUCGUCGUUCUUUUGACGGGUUUCCCGGCUCAGGCCAGAUCACCCCGUGGGCAGGAGGGCCCCAACCUUUCCGAGGACCAGCCUGCGUGGCCUGCCCCGGGUGCGGCCCGUCGUCGCUCAGCUGGGCACCUGCACCUGGUCCCCCUUGGUGCCCUUUGCAACCUCGCCCACCACCGCCAGCUGCUCCGCUCUAUGGUGUGUCAGUGCGCCACUUUACAGAAGAGAGAGGAAGAGAAUCUUCCUGGGAUGAGGGAGGGGCGACUAAGCCCGAAAUUACAAAACCGAAGUAUGCUACUGGGACUGUAGAAGUGGCUCCGCAGGAGCUGA